rnacentral:rRNA from 1 species
GGUGGCGAGUGGCGAACGGGUGAGUAAUGCAUCGGAACGUGCCCAUCGAUGGGGGAUAACUGCGCGAAAGCGUUGCUAAUACCGCAUACGACCUACGGGUGAAAGCAGGGGACCGCAAGGCCUUGCGUCGAUGGAGCGGCCGAUGCCGGAUUAGCUAGUUGGUGAGGUAAAGGCUCACCAAGGCGACGAUCCCGUAGCUGGUCUGAGAGGACGACCAGCCACACUGGGACUGAGACACGGCCCAGACUCCUACGGGAGGCAGCAGUGGGGAAUCUUGGACAAUGGGCGAAAGCCUGAUCCAGCAAUGCCGCGUGUGGGAAGAAGGCCUUCGGGUUGUAAACCACUUUUGGCAGGAAAGAAAUCGUCCGGGUUAAUACCCUGGAUGGAUGACGGUACCUGCAGAAUAAGCACCGGCUAACUACGUG